rnacentral:tRNA from 1 species
GGAAAUGUGGCUUAGUGGUAGAGUGCUUGCCUAGUAUGUAUGAAGCUCUGAGUUCAUUUCCU